UCAAAGCAUUUCGGCGUUAAAAAAAGUGUCUCAAAGUUUCCUUCAGAAAAGUGGAAUGACAACCCAACACAGGAUAUAGCAUCGUUGAAUUUGAAGGUUGGAUUAUUUUAAAUUCUACACAAAUUAAAUUAUAUAAACACACAAAUUGCAGUUAUUUUUCCAGACUUAGUGCUUUUUUGCAAUUAUGGUUAGAUGGAUAUGGAAAAUGUACAAAUGCCCAUGCAUUUUAAUGGAAUAAGAAAUACAUACAUACGUCUUAGUACCUAUGCGUCAGUAUGUAGUGUAUUAGCGUGCAAUUAGCUAGAAUAAUUUCAAUAACUCAAUACAAAUUCUACAACAACACGUUUGAAUGUACAUUGGAUUUCUUUUAAAGAAUAUAUAAGGGAGAUCUAUUUGAUAUUUUUCGCAGCAGUAUAAUGAAAAUAGCAUUUCUGCCGAAUUGAAAAAGCCAUAAGGAAACUAAAUGAGAACAUUGUAAAUAGCAACUAUAAUUGAAAUUAUGUCCUCCAGACCUUAAUAUAAUACCUAAUAACCAUGAUCUUUUAAGUAAUAUAUAUGUUAUAAUGGGGUUUCCUACUA
rnacentral:sRNA from 1 species